rnacentral:rRNA from 1 species
AUUGAACGCUGGCGGCAUGCCUUACACAUGCAAGUCGAACGGCAGCACGGGGGCAACCCUGGUGGCGAGUGGCGAACGGGUGAGUAACGCAUCGGAAUGUACCCAGUAGUGGGGGAUAACUAGUCGAAAGAUUAGCUAAUACCACAUACGCACUGAGGUGGAAAGCGGGGGAUCGCAAGACCUCGCGCUAUUGGAGCAGCCGAUGUCCGAUUAGGUAGUUGGUGGGGUAAAGGCCUACCAAGCCUGCGAUCGGUAACUGGUCUGAGAGGACGACCAGUCACACUGGGACUGAGACACGGCCCAGACUCCUACGGGAGGCAGCAGUGGGGAAUUUUGGACAAUGGGCGCAAGCCUGAUCCAGCAAUGCCGCGUGUGUGAAGAAGGCCUCGGUUGUAAGCACUUUGUCGGGAGCGAAACGGCGUUGCGUAAUACCAGACGCUAAUAGACGGUACCCGGCACGAAUAAGACACCGGCGUAACUACGUGCCAGCAGCCGAC